CCAGACUCCUACGGGAGGCAGCAGUGGGGAAUAUUGCACAAUGGGGGAAACCCUGAUGCAGCAACGCCGCGUGAGUGAAGAAGUAUUUCGAUAUGUAAAGCUCUAUCAGCAGGGAAGAAGAUGACGGUACCUGAGUAAGAAGCCCCGGCUAACUACGUGCCAGCAGCCGCGGUAAUACGUAGGGGGCAAGCGUUAUCCGGAUUUACUGGGUGUAAAGGGAGCGUAGACGGCAGCACAAGUCUGGAGUGAAAUCCCGGGGCUUAACCCCGGAACUGCUUUGGAAACUGUGCGGCUGGAGUGCAGGAGGGGUAAGCGGAAUUCCUAGUGUAGCGGUGAAAUGCGUAGAUAUUAGGAGGAACACCGGUGGCGAAGGCGGCUUACUGGACUGUAACUGACGUUGAGGCUCGAAAGCGUGGGGAGCAAACAGGAUUAGAUACCCUUGUAA
rnacentral:rRNA from 1 species